GACGAACGCUGGCGGCGUGCUUAACACAUGCAAGUCGAACGGAAAGGCCCUGCUUUUGUGGGGUGCUCGAGUGGCGAACGGGUGAGUAACACGUGAGUAACCUGCCCUUGACUUUGGGAUAACUUCAGGAAACUGGGGCUAAUACCGGAUAGGAGCUCCUGCUGCAUGGUGGGGGUUGGAAAGUUUCGGCGGUUGGGGAUGGACUCGCGGCUUAUCAGCUUGUUGGUGGGGUAGUGGCUUACCAAGGCUUUGACGGGUAGCCGGCCUGAGAGGGUGACCGGCCACAUUGGGACUGCGAUACGGCCCAGACUCCUACGGGAGGCAGCAGUGGGGAAUAUUGCACAAUGGGCGGAAGCCUGGUGCAGCAACGCCGCGUGCGGGAUGACGGCCUUCGGGUUGUAAACCGCUUUCGCCUGUGACGAAGCGUGAGUGACGGUAAUGGGUAAAGAAGCACCGGCUAACUAUGUG
rnacentral:rRNA from 1 species